GAUCACAAGUUCAAGCCCACCCUGGGCAACUUAGUGAGAUCCUGUCUCAAAAUGAAAACAAAAAAAUAGAAAUUAGACUGGGAUGUAGCUUAGUGCAAAGCCCUGAAUUCAAUCCCUGGUACUGAAAAAAGUAGAUGAAAAGAUGGAUUUCAAUGAAUUGAAAUCUAUAAAAAAUAAUUGAGAACCAGGUGUAGUGUCACCUGCUCAUACUCCUAACUACUGAAGAGGCUAAUAAGGCAGGAAGAUUGCUUGAGCCCAAGAGUUUGAGGUCAACCUGGGCAACAUACCAAGAUUCCAUCUCAAAACAAAACAAAAGAUCAGAUGUACUUUCUAGAACUGAAAAAUACUUCUAACAAAUUAAGUACUCAAGUCUUAAGACUGAUAGCAAAUUGAACAUAAUGGAAUAUAGGAUUGGUAAUUUGCCUUACAGAUCAAUCAAGGCAAAAUAAAAUGAAACCCAGAGGAGACAAAUGCAAAAACUUACACAAUACAUGAGAGAUAUGUGGAACACAAAUAGUUUUAACAUGAUUAUAGUCUUAAGAGGGAAGACAGAACAGGGCAAAAACAGUAUUUCAAAAAUAUGACCAUACAUUUUCUAAAAUGUUUGAAAGAUGUGAAUUUGUAGGGCCAGGGAUUUAGCUCAGUGGUUCCAGCACUGUCUCCCAAGCUCAACGUCCCAAGUUCGAUCCUCGGUACCAAAAAAAAAAAAAAAAAAAAAAAAAAGAUAUAAAUUUGUAGGUUCCAGAAGCUCAGCAAACCCUAAGCUGUGUAGAUAAAGUCACACCUAGGGAAAUCAGAUUCAACUUCGAAAAGCUAGAAGAAGAAAAUCUUAAAAAUAACCAAGAAAAUAAAACAUGGAGAAAAAGAGGCAUAAGCCAAGGAAUGCAGGCAGCCUCUAGAAACUGGAAAAAGUAAGAUAAAAGAAAGGUUCUCCUCUAGAGCCUCCAGAUGACAGUGCAUCCCUGCCAAGUCUGAUACUCACCACUGAGGCUCAGGUCAGACUUCUGCCCUUCAGAACUGUAAGGCAAUGAAUUUUUGUUCUUUAAAGAUACUAAAUUUAUGGCAGUUUCUUACAUUGGCAAGAAGAAACUGAUACACUCUCUUCUUUAAUCCAAGUUACUGUAUUUGUAAGGUUACUUAUUUUAACUCUAAAUAUAGAGUAAAACAUGGGUUUCUGUCAUACCCUUCCCACUCUUUCAUAGGGGUAUCUAGUUACUAAAGCUUUCUAGUUCUUUUUAUGUACAGCAUUCUCAUACCUUUGUAUAUAAAAAUGCAUCUCUUUUUUUCUUUAUUGUCUGUAAUGUAUGCAUUAUUCUGUAAGGUUUUUCAACAUCACUUUAAUCUUAACCUGGUAAUAUUACUGGUACUGUAUAAUUACAUCACAGUUUAGUUAUCCUUUCCCCUACUGUGGGCAAGUAUUUCGUUUUGUUUUACUUUUAUAAACAGUGCUUCAGUAAACAAUUGCCAUGUGUGUUUUUGAGCAAAUCGUUAAGAAAUUUAGAUCCUAAAUAAGGAAUUUCUGUGUCAGUGGUUAUAAGCAUUUUAAAUUAGAUAUUACCAAAUUGCCUUCCAGAAAGACUUUACCAGUUUACCAUGAACAGUGUAUAAAACUCACUUUCCUAUAUCUUCACCAACAUUAUAAAGUAGGAGUCUUUAAUUUUCCCAAAUUUGGGGCCAGGGAUUUAGCUCAUUGGUUCCAUCACCUGCCUCAAAAGAGCAAGGUCCAGAAUUCGAUCCCCAGUACCAAAAAUUUUUCCCAAAUAUAAGGGCAAAAUACUUCAGUUAAAUUGCAGUAUUCUGAUUACUAAUGAAGUAGUAUUCUUUUUCUGCUACUACAACCCAUUUGUAUUUCUUUUGUGAAUUUGUUAUGUGCUUUUCCCAUUUUUCUAGUAAAUCAUCUUUUUCUUAUUCAUGUAUAGGACAUCUUCAUAAGUCUAGCUAUAUAAUUCCUUGACAUAUAUAUUACUGCUUUUUUCUUAGUCUGUUGUUUUUAGUCUUUUUUAAACUGUAAUUAUGGUGUCUUUAACUUUACAGUCAGCCUUCUAUAUUCAUAGAUUCUGUAUCUCUGAAUUCACCUGACCUUGGAUGGAAAAUAUUAAGGACAAAAACAAUCCCAGAAAGUCCCCAAAAAGUUAAAGUUAAAUUACCCUGAGUCCACAUGAAUGACACAAUGUGUAGGCAGACCCUGCCUCCUGGCUUUCACAGACCCUCAGUCCCUCUCCAGCACUCAAUGUACUCUGCACCUGGUGGAUACUUAACCAUUCACAGCCCUGGACACACCUUGAUAGCUUAACCCAAGGGAAAGAGGGCAUCUUUCCAGAGAAUUUCUGUGAAAAGUUCUGCAUUGAACGCAGAUGAACCUGAUUUUGAUUAUGUGCAAUCACAUCCACAUCCCUUGAGCCAAAGGUGUGGGCUCCUCUGUAUCACAUGCCCAACCCUGCUGUGAGGUUGAAGUCAGCCCUACUUCAACCCAAGGAAGGUUUCCCCUCCAAGAUUUACCAGCAGAUGAGGAAAGGAAUCUCAAAAGCAGGGAAUUCGCUCAUACAAAUGGUGUUUUACUAUUUGUUAAGCCAAGUUUCCCCACAUACAUACACAGUCUUUGUGCUUGUUCAAGAAUAUUUUGCCUGUAUUGUAUACAUUUCCCCCCAUGUGAACUUUAGAGUAGGCUUGUCAAGUUCCAUAAAAAAUGUUGAGUUUUUGAUUGGGCAUGUGUUGAAUUUAUAGAUUCAUUUAGGGAGACCUGACAUCUUUACAAUAUUAAAUUUCUUUAUCCAAGUAA